UCCCCUCCGCGUCCACCUCCUUCCCCCGCGCACCGCCGCGCCCCGCUCUGCCUCCGCGCAUUGGCCCCCGACGCGCCGCAGCCCGCCGCCCCCGACCCGCCCGCGGCUGUGUCCUCGGCUGUGGCGGCAGCCGUGCCCGUGCCCGAGCCCGAGCUUGAGGCGGAGGCGGAGACCGUGAGCGCAGCGCCUGCUACGCAACCCGCGGCGAUGAGCGGGAAGGAGGAUCUUGACGACCUGGUGGACAAGGCUAGGGCUCCUCGUCCGCAACAUCGAUGCCAUCCAGCGGUGUAGUCGAUCCCGCAAGGGGCGGUGCUGCUGGUCCUCAUCACCGUAGCUGAUUCCGCCUCCGUGCAAGGCAGAAGGUCGCUAGGGAGGCUCCAGCUCAAAUGAUCUCUUCACCUGUUCUGCACCGAGGUCUCCCUGCGAUGCCCCCUAGGAUGGGUUAUUCAUCACGCAAACAAACGAAUAUCAUUGUUUGUAAGUUCGAUCCAUUUGGUUUUGAAGUGAAUCAUUAUUGGAAUUAUGGGGAUGCACUGUGUUCAAUAUUCAGAUUUAAAAUUGUCUUGGUACGAUUUAGUAAAUACACCAUCCUCUACGUUGUUAAACUUAAUUGAUCUGUCUAUUUUUUUGGCCCCUCUGCAGCAGUCAGAUCCCUAUCUUUGAUGAUUGGCCUGACAGUGGAGUUUCGUUUCCGAAUGCCAACUGGUAAGUUGAACUCAAUUACUUAUGUUGAAUGCAACACAUCAAGUGAUCAUUAAUGUUAGGAAAUCAUCUGUAUGCAAUGUUGCCACAAAGAUAAGCUAUAUGUUGGCACCCAGGACAAUGAGAACUCUAUUCAUUUUGUUCGAAUCUUCCCAUCUACACUUGAGUUCGAAUACUGUGAAAAUUAAUUUUACUUGGGUUUUCAGUGCCAAUGUUUAGAAAUGAUAGCUCAGAUUUCAGUAUCGGAUAAAAUGCCAUCAGGUGCAGGGAGCUUUUGUUGCUUCAUUUGCUUCCAUCCUGAAGAUGUUUGACAAAAUGCCACAGUUAACUAGCUCUGCCUCUACAGCAAGGUAAUGUUUCUGGCUACAAAUUUCGUGAGGUAGCUAUUAUCAGUUUUAGGAUAUAAUAUGAUUUUUUGGCAAGCUUUUUUAGUCCAGUGAUAUAAAAUCUAUAAUUUUCAAGGAUGCAGAAGGAUUCUCUUCCAUUUCCUGGUUUUGAUUCUUGUUUCUAUAGAUAAUAGAUACAUGGCAGUCAUGAUAUUGUUUUUUUUUCUUUCUGGUUCUUGAGUUUAGUUAUCGUAAUUUUCUUACUGCAGAAAUGAACAAGGGAAAAAAACGAGAACUUAGGAAUUUUUAAAGGGGAUAUCACUGCAGUCAGGUACAUCCAGGAACUCCAUAUUCUUGGGACAAUGCCUCGCAAGUUAGCAUCUGCUGUGAAAUGGAGCUUUUUCCCUUGCGACAGUUUAUCUACUUCGUUGUCCCAUUUUUCUUGUGCAUAAUUAAGGAAAGUAGAAGAACUAAGCAAUGACAACAGGAGUGGCACCAAUAGGUGAACUAGACAAGCCAUUCUGCUGUAGCUGUCAAUCAUGUUAUUCGAAAAAUGAGCUCACAGCUAUAUUUCACGCAAUUGCUGCUCUAAAUUAUUUUGCUAUAACUGAAACCUAACGUAGCAAUGCGUAGGAUAUUUGCUUUGCCUGUUAGGAAAAGAUUUGAUAUGAUGUUUGUUUUGCCCGGUAGGGAAAUAUUUGAUAGGAUGUUUGCUUUGCCUGGUAGGGUGAUGCUUAUGUUCUUGUUUUCUUUCUCAUUUGUUUUCCAUGCUGAAUGAGGUCUGGGGAACUAACGACUCCUUGAGGUGUUGUGAUCUCGCGCUUGGUCAUGGUGGCCUUUAAUGUUAAGGGCCCAUUAUAUUAGAUAGUUAAAUGACCAAUAUUUGAGCCUGAAGAUGUAGCCAUAUGACCUAAAAAGGAUUUCUGUUUCUGCUGCUUAAACCAGGAUACAAUGGCACUUUGUUCAUUGCCUUGCCAUUAUAUCACUGUCCACUAUCUAAUGAUAGCUCAGAUUUCAGUAUUGGACAUAGCAAUGUUAUGUGAUAUUCUUUAAAUAGUUAGGCAAUAUCACGAAUCACGAAAAUGAGUCUAUUCAAAUAUUGUUGAACCAUAUUUGGCUUUGCCUGAGGCUCAAAAAUCUAAAAUAUAUUCUGUUCUUAAAGGUUUUGCUUCCAUUUCUAUUAAGCUCAUAGGUAUUGUCCCUACAUUCACAAAAUGUUUUUAGACAGGCUGCAUAAAAACAAUGAAAAUCCUUGCCAGUUCUUUGAUGCACUACCUGAACAAAAGAUCAGAAAUCGACUUACAGAGAAAAAGUAUUUCUUUAGACGGAUCCUGAAAAGGUUAGCUUUUAUUGAGAGAUCUGGUUCAACCUUUAUGCUUCUAUAUACUUGUUUGAUAUCUUUGUGAAGAAUACCCUCCUGAUGCAUUAAAGCUAAUCGCAAUAAAAAGUGCUUUUUAGGUUGAUAUCUUCUUAGCAUGGAUAGUUUUGUCAUAAGUUUAUUGUGAACUUUUCUUGUCUUGCGGGACGAAAGGAAAAGCUGAAACAUCUGCAGAGCCUGCUUCUUGUGCACUCAAUGUUGAUCUGCAAAGGCUAAGGCUGCAUCUCACGCGCCCAUGGAGUCGAUCAGGGUGUAGCUUUUCCGUGACACGAUAAGGGCCCUGCUUCUUUCCAUGAAUAUUUUACUAGGCACUGUUUUGCAAGCCAACCUGAUGUUGGUUUCUGGAAUAUUGCUCAGUUUACUAGACCACUGUCAUCUGCAAAACUUAUUAGCCAAGAUGAGGCAAAUUAUAUAAUGUAGAGGUUAGUUUGUUUCUCCCAUCUAAAUUAACUAUUUGCAGUACACCUCAAUAACUCAUUAAUGAGCUGCUUGUUCCACUCAAGGCUGCUAUCCUGGUUUUCUAAAAUACAUGCCGGUUUGGAACAAUUUGCUCCUAUAUGUUGGAAAGGAAUAAAAAUAAAUAGCGAUAUUAACCUUGAAAUUUAACCACGUAUGAGUUGUUCUGUUAGUAUUGUAGACUUUUGGUGAAUCAUAAUACAUAUUCCACAGGAAUUAUAUAUUUUUUGGCUGAAAGAUAAUUGAGUCACGCUCUCCCGACAGAUGGCUGAAAGACGUGCCUUCAAGAUAAAGAUGAGGAUAUAGAAGGAGGUGUCAAUGAUAACGGCAAUGAGAAUAAGAUUCUCAUGGAGGAGUAGAGCCUGAGGGUGGUGUUUGAGAAAUGUGAAGAAAAUAUAUGUUGUUUGUUUAGGGAAACUACAUUAAAAUACUUGUAUGACUACAUGUUCCUGGCUCAUUCAUCCCAAGACCAAAGUCUGAAGAUGUAUAUGAUCAAUCAGCGUACGAGUUAGUUAGCUAUAUGAUGGAUUGUUGACAAAACAUUAAUAAAUAUCUUGUAUGUAAUUUAUUUUUAAACCCGUGCGUGUCGCACGGGUAUCUCCA